rnacentral:rRNA from 1 species
UACGGGGGGGGCAAGCGUUGUUCGGAAUUACUGGGCGUAAAGGGCUCGUAGGCGGCCAACUAAGUCAUACGUGAAAUCCCUCGGCUUAACCGGGGAACUGCGUCUGAUACUGGAUGGCUUGAGAUUGGGAGAGGGAUGCGGAAUUCCUGGUGUAGCGGUGGAAUGCGCAGAUAUCAGGAGGAACACCAACAGCGAAGGCAGCUCGCUGGGACGGUACUGACGCUGAGGCGCGAAAGCGUGGGGAGCGAACAGG